UACGUAGGGGGCAAGCGUUGUCCGGAUUUAUUGGGCGUAAAGAGCGUGUAGGCGGCUUGGUAGGUCCGCUGUGAAAACUCGAGGCUCAACCUCGAGAUGUCGGCGGAAACCACUUGGCUAGAGUCCGGAAGAGGAGAGUGGAAUUCCCGGUGUGAGCGGUGAAAUGCGCAGAUAUCGGGAAGAACACCUAUGGCGGAAGGCAGCCUCUCUGGGGACGGUACUGACGCUGAGGCACGAAAGCGUGGGGAGCAAACAGG
rnacentral:rRNA from 1 species